rnacentral:tRNA from 1 species
GCCGAUGUAGCUCAGUUGGCCAGAGCUACUGAUUUGUAAUCAGUGGGUCGGGGUUCGAAUCCCUCCAUCGGCUCCA